GUAGCGUAAUCAUUUGUUUUUUAAUUAAAAACUGGUAUGAAAGGUUUAACAAGUAAAAUAAGUUUUAAGUAAUAAGAUAAAAUUUAUAAUUUAUGUAAAAAUACAUAAGUGAAUAAAAGGGACGAUAAGACCCUAAAAGCUUUAUUAUUAAAUAUUUUUUAUUAUUGUUAAUAUUUGGAGGAUGUAAAAUAAUUUAACUGGGGUAGUUGUUUUUUUUACAAAUAUUUUUAUUAACAGUUAGGGUUGAAGGUCCUUUAUAUCAGGAUAGUUAGUAAAAGUUACUUUAGGGAUAACAGCAUAAUAAUAAUGGGGAGCUCUUAUUUAUAUUAUUGAUUUUGACCUCGAUGUUGAAUUAAAUUUCUUUAUAAAGUAGAAAUUAUAUUUGAAAGUUUGUUCAACUUUUGAAAUUUU
rnacentral:rRNA from 1 species